rnacentral:rRNA from 1 species
ACAUCCAGCGAACUUGGCAGAGAUGCCUUGGUGCCUUCGGGAACGCUGAGACAGGUGCUGCAUGGCUGUCGUCAGCUCGUGUUGUGAAAUGUUGGGUUAAGUCCCGNAACGAGCGCAACCCUUUAUCCUUUGUUGCCAGCGAUUCGGUCGGGAACUCAAAGGAGACUGCCGGUGAUAAACCGGAGGAAGGUGGGGAUGACGUCAAGUCAUCAUGGCCCUUACGAGUAGGGCUACACACGUGCUACAAUGGCGCAUACAAAGAGAAGCGACCUCGCGAGAGCAAGCGGACCUCAUAAAGUGCGUCGUAGUCCGGAUCGGAGUCUGCAACUCGACUCCGUGAAGUCGGAAUCGCUAGUAAUCGUGGAUCAGAAUGCCACGGUGAAUACGUUCCCGGGCCUUGUACACACCGCCCGUCACACCAUGGGAGUGGGUUGCAAAAGAAGUGGGUAGCUUAACCUUCGGGAGGGCGCUUACCACUUUGUGAUUCAUGACUGGGGUGAAGUCGUAACAAGGUAGGCGUAGCGAG